UACGAAGGGGGCUAGCGUUGCUCGGAAUCACUGGGCGUAAAGCGCACGUAGGCGGAUUGUUAAGUCAGGGGUGAAAUCCUGGAGCUCAACUCCAGAACUGCCUUUGAUACUGGCGAUCUUGAGUCCGGGAGAGGUGAGUGGAACUGCGAGUGUAGAGGUGAAAUUCGUAGAUAUUCGCAAGAACACCGGUGGCGAAGGCGGCAUCCUGGACCAAUUCUGACGCUGAGGAGCGAAAGCCAGGGGAGCAAACGGG
rnacentral:rRNA from 1 species